UACGAGGGGUGCAAGCGUUGCUCGGAAUUAUUGGGCGUAAAGGGCAAGUAGGUGGUCUCAUUUGUCUGGGGUGAAAGCCUUGAGCUUAACUCAAGAAGUGCCCCAGAAACGGUGAGACUCGAGUCCUGGAGAGGGUCGUGGAAUUCCCGGUGUAGCGGUGAAAUGCGCAGAUAUCGGGAAGAACACCCGUGGCGAAGGCGGUUCUCUGGGACGGUACUGACGCUGAGACGCGAAAGCGUGGGGAGCGAACAGG
rnacentral:rRNA from 1 species